AAACCAGCACCUCAAGUGGUCAGGAUGAUUAUUGGGCCUAAAGCAUCCGUAGCCGGCUCUGUAAGUUUUCGGUUAAAUCUGUACGCUUAACGUACAGGCUGCUGAGAAUACUGCAGGGCUAGGGAGUGGGAGAGGUAGACGGUACUCGGGAGGAAGUGGUAAAAUGCUUUGAUCUCUCGAUGACCACCUGUGGCGAAGGCGGUCUACCAGAACAUGUCCGACGGUGAGGGAUGAAAGCUGGGGGAGCAAACCGGAUUAGAAACCCGGGUAGUCC
rnacentral:rRNA from 1 species